rnacentral:lncRNA from 1 species
UAUGGAAACUUACGAGUUUAAAUUUAAAGAUGAUAUUGCAACUUUUUAUUUUUAUAAGGAGCUUUUUUACUGAAUUGUUAGGGGAUACUUCUUCUCCUUUUGCCAAAAGGGAAAUGUUCUAUAAAUUUCUAAAGAUGCUCUAAGGACAAACUUAUUUAUCGAAUCUAUCAACCAUUCAGCAGUAUUUUUUCUUUCAUAACAAAUUAGCAAAUAAUAUUUUUAGUCAUUGCUUUUAGCUGUGGUUGGAUUGGUUCCUGCCACCACUUUGUAUUAUUGUGUGGUUGUGGAUCACUCUCGGAUUCGGAUACCUCCUCAAGGUGCCGGUGCAGUGCAGGUGCAGGUAACAGCUCGCUAUACCUGCAUGCGUACUGCAGUGCCUCAUCUACGAAGAUGUGCU